rnacentral:lncRNA from 1 species
CCCCACGCGCGCCCCCGCGGGCCGGGCGGGGCGGGGCUGAAGGGGAGAAAGGGGCGGGGCUAGAGGGGGUGGGCGGGGCUAAAGGGGUGGUGGGCGGGGUUAUGAAUGAAGUGGGCGUGGCUUAGAGGGAGUGGGCGGGGCUAGUGGGUGGUGGGCGGGGCUAGGGACUGAUCCCCUAUAGGGGACUGAUCCCUGUAGGGUCUGGUCCCCUGUGGGGUCUGAUCCCCUUCGCUGUUCUCCCAGCGCUCAGGCUGCCCAACAAGGGUGCUGGCCAUACGUGAAAUGGGGAUUCAGAGCGGCUGCAAGGAAGGUCAUCUGAAACUGAAGUGCUGGCUUCUUAACCAUUGUUUUGGGGAUCAAGCAAUGAAAAAUAUAAACUCAAGAAUAUUGAAAUUAAGCACCAGCGAAUUAAGCAGGGGAAAGGUGGGUCCUACAUCAGUCCCCCAAGAGAUGCUGCUAAAAUCAUAAAGAGAGUUUGCCCAAUGAAAGAUUUGCUACUGGAGCCAAUGUGCAGUCUCACUUCAAGACCAGCCAGAGCCAGAUCUUGGCCUCAAAACCAUUUUGACAAGACAUACCUUGUCAAACUCUCACUGGGAUCCAGCCAAGCUGCUUCCGCAACCAGUGCUGAUACCACGGGGCAGGUCUGGGCAUACGGUACCAUCUCAGCUGAUGUACAGCAAAACACCUCCACCGAAAAAAAAUCUCAUCUGAUGAAAAACCUGGAAGUCUGCCUCUGGGGAAGAGGUCUCUGGCUUUAUCCUGCAGACCUUUUUGCUGGCCAACAGGACUAUAGGGGUACACUUUAA